rnacentral:rRNA from 1 species
UACAGAGGUGGCAAGCGUUGUUCGGAAUUACUGGGCGUAAAGGGCGCGUAGGCGGCCUUCUAAGUCGGACGUGAAAUCCCCAGGCUCAACUUGGGAACUGCGUCCGAUACUGGAGGGCUUGAAUGCGGGAGAGGGAUGUGGAAUUCCAGGUGUAGCGGUGAAAUGCGUAGAUAUCUGGAGGAACACCGGUGGCGAAGGCGGCAUCCUGGACCGACAUUGACGCUGAGGCGCGAAAGCUAGGGGAGCAAACGGGAUUAGAAACCCCCGUAG